rnacentral:rRNA from 1 species
UACGGGAGGCAGCAGUGAGGAAUAUUGGUCAAUGGGCGGGAGCCUGGACCAGCCAAGUAGCGUGCAGGAUGACGGCCCUAUGGGUUGUAAACUGCUUUUAUACAGGGAUAAAGUGAGGGACGUGUCCCUUUUUGUAGGUACUGUAUGAAUAAGGACCGGCUAAUUCCGUGCCAGCAGCCGCGGUAAU